rnacentral:rRNA from 1 species
UACAGGGGGUGCAAACGUUGCUCGGAAUUAUUGGGCGUAAAGCGCGCGUAGGCGGCCACUUAAGUCGGAUGUGAAAGCCCCUGGCUCAACUGGGGAAGUGCACCCGAAACUGAAUGGCUUGAGUGCGAAAGAGGGUCGCGGAAUUCCCGGUGUAGAGGUGAAAUGCGUAGAUAUCUGGAGGAACACCGGUGGCGAAGGCGGCGUUCUGGACUGCAACUGACACUGAGGAACGAAAGCCAGGGGAGCAAACGGG